UACGGGGGGAGCAAGCGUUGUUCGGAUUUACUGGGCGUAAAGGGCGGGUAGGCGGCCACCGCAAGUCGACUGUGAAAUCUCCGGGCUUAACCCGGAAAGGUCAGCCGAUACUGCGGGGCUAGAGUGCAGAAGGGGCAACUGGAAUUCUCGGUGUAGCGGUGAAAUGCGUAGAUAUCGAGAGGAACACCUGCGGCGAAGGCGGCUUCCUGGCCUGUUCUUGACGCUGAGGCGCGAAAGCUAGGGUAGCAAACGGG
rnacentral:rRNA from 1 species